rfam:Triticum aestivum genome assembly, contig: Triticum_aestivum_CS42_TGACv1_scaffold_221398_3B
CAUAUACUCCCUCCGUUCGGAAUUACUUGUCACUAAAAUGGAUAAAAACAGAUGUAUCUGCAACUAAAAUACAUCCAGAUACAUUCAUUUCUUGGACGAGUAAUUCCGAAUGGGGGGAGUACUUA